GGGUGUGAGACGAUGAGAGGUUUCAGUUUUCUUUUUCUUUUUCUUUUGACUUGCUCUUUCUGAUCAUGGAAGGCAUGUCCAAGAUACUCGUAUGAAAGCGUAUUUUGUGUGAUUUUAACUGUGUGAAUGCUGUCAGUAUUUGAUUUGAGUGACUGCAUGAUUUGUCUGAGUGAGUGGAAAAUGGCAGUUUGAGAGAGAAAAGGCAGUGUGUGAGACGAUUACUGAAUGACUAAAGAGGUUAGAACUUUUAAAGGUGUGUAUGGAAUAAAGGAGUGUGAAAUAUAUUUCUUGUGUGAGGAAAAGUAGGAUGUUUUAAAGUUUGAAAGUGCUUUUAAUUCAAGAAAUCCAUGAGAGAUGUUAUGACAGGUUGAGUGUAUUUUUUCCGAUUGAAAAUACAUAAGUAUAUGUACUUGGGAAGCCCAGUUAAGAGAUUAUUGGGUGACUGAUGCUAUAAAACUGACCUAAAGAAUGGUCCUGUCCGUGGAGAAGUGUUAGUUGUCCUGAUGUUUGGAAGAGCUCUAUUUAAAAGUGUGUGUGAGAGGAAGGUGUGUGUGACUGAUGAUGUCAGGGGAGCACCCAGAGAAAUAGACAGAGUUAAAUUCUAAGAGGAUGAAGCGGAUGCAUGUUUUAAGAAAAAGUAAUAAAGUAAUAAAAUUAUAUUAAUUACAGGUUUUAGAAAAGAGACAGACUGAGAGAAAUAAAUACAUGAACUAACAAUUACAUUAAUGAAUUGAAAACGCACGUACACAAACUGUUACAUGUGAAAUUAUUGUUGGAAAGUUUAAUAAAGAAAGCAGUUUACACUCCUUUAAUUUCCAGAACCAGUGUGUCCCCUAGGUCUGAUAACACCCUUGCCCAGUUGGCUCCUGUAGUAGGCGGGCAUGGAAGGCUGGACAGCCCAUGACGGGUAAGAUCCCACCUCGAAACCCUGGGACAACCUAAGGCAAGGCGCAGUCACGAUUGCUCGAACCUAAGUCCCGGAGUGACCUUGGAGUCACUGGAGGAGACGGGAUUUAACAGGUAAGGCCACUGGGCACAGACGAAGGGGAAAUGUCAUUCACAAUGACCAGUGAUGAGCCAAAGAGAGAAAACACACCCUGUCAAAAGGAGUUUGGAACACUGGAAAAGAAACAUUUACAAGAUCACAAAGAUCAUAAAGAAACAUUUAUAAGAAUCACACAUACAAACAGAAAAUGCACUAACCUUACAGAGAUAAGCUCAUGAAGAUUAAUGAACAGAUAAUGAUUUAAAACCUGGCUAAGAACACAAACAUACGUAAUUAAAUCAGCCUGGUAAUUUCAUGAGGGUUAAAAUGGUGUGAAUGUUGAAGAAAAUACACUUAAAACACACUUGGAUAAAAUAGAGUUGUGGAAUAACUCAAACGAAGCUGUAUGACAAGGGAGUGAGUUAUGGAAAAAACAAAACAAAAGAGAAGUGAUUACUUAGGAGUGCUCUUGCACUGAUUUAUCAAAGUAAGUGAUUAGUAUAGAAAGAAAAUGAAAAUAAUUGAAUAAUGUGAUAAGGUUUAAACAUGUAUUCCUCUUGUUAAGUUGGCUGUUGAGCUGUGGGUUUAUGCAAAUUAGCUGGAGUGAGUGAGUGACAAAGACACUUCCUGUGUGCGUGUGUGUCGGAGGCUUUCAGUUCAAGAGAGAUCGGGGCUGAUGAAGAGUAUUGGGAGAAAUAUAUAAUGGUAAAGUAUCAGGAUAUUUGAUUACGGUGGUCAGGUCUGUUCAGAGGGGCAGAUUUGGACAGGAAAGUUAUAAUUUAAGGAUGAUAUGUGGUUGAAAUUGGUUUUUAUCUUGUGCUGGAUGAACACAUGGUAAAGUGAGGAAGGGUGACAUUGUGCAAACGGUCGUUGAUCUUUUGACGAGGUUUUCGGUGUGUUGAACGGGUGAAAUUUAAGAUUGUUUCAGAUUUUUGAGGCUGUUGUUUUAUUUCCAGAGAGGGUGUUUAAUUAAGACAUGGAUAUGUCUGAGAGGGGCCCCAAAAAUUUUUUGUAGUAGUGCACUCAGGAAAAAACCUGUCAGGUGAUUUUGUUUUGUACUUUGAUGA
ensembl:lncRNA